UACGGAGGAUGCAAGCGUUAUCCGGAAUGAUUGGGCGUAAAGCGUCCGCAGGUGGCAAUGUAAGUCUGCUGUCAAAGCGUCUGGCUCAACCAGAUAAAGGCAGUGGAAACUACAAGGCUAGAGUACGUUCGGGGCAGAGGGAAUUCCUGGUGUAGCGGUGAAAUGCGUAGAGAUCAGGAAGAACACCAGUGGCGAAGGCGCUCUGCUAGGCCGCAACUGACACUGAGGGACGAAAGCUAGGGGAGCGAAUGGG
rnacentral:rRNA from 1 species